GGUUGAAACUCAAAGGAAUUGACGGGGACCCGCACAAGCGGUGGAUGAUGUGGUUAAUUCGACGCAACGCGAAAAACCUUACCUACCCUUGACAUGCCUGGAAUCCCACAGAGAUGCGGGAGUGCUCGAAAGAGAACCAGGACACAGGUGCUGCAUGGCCGUCGUCAGCUCGUGUCGUGAGAUGUUGGGUUAAGUCCCGCAACGAGCGCAACCCUUGCCAUUAGUUGCUACGAAAGGGCACUCUAAUGGGACUGCCGGUGACAAACCGGAGGAAGGUGGGGAUGACGUCAGGUCAUCAUGGCCCUUAUGGGUAGGGCUACACACGUCAUACAAUGGCCGGUACAGAGGGCUGCCAACCCGCGAGGGGGAGCUAAUCCCAGAAAACCGGUCGUAGUCCGGAUCGCAGUCUGCAACUCGACUGCGUGAAGUCGGAAUCGCUAGUAAUCGCGGAUCAGCAUGUCGCGGUGAAUACGUUCCCGGGUCUUGUACACACCGCCCGUCACACCAUGGGAGCGGGUUCUGCCAGAAGUAGUUAGCCUAACCGCAAGGGGGGCGAUUACCACGGCAGGGUUCGUGACUGGGGUGAAGUCGUAACAAGGUAGCC
rnacentral:rRNA from 1 species